AUGCCGAGAAGCAGCGUGGGUUCCGCCCCGGACGACGCAAUGCUGGGUAGAUACCCCUUGGAUGACAUCAUGGAGAACACUAGCUGCGAGCUACACGUCAAAAUGAAGAACAUAUCCAUGAAGGUGGUGGACGCCGUUGGUUUUACAAAUCCCCCCGAGGCAACCUUCCAUUGCAACCCGAUUCCAGCGGGCUAUGCUCGUGUCUUGGUUGAUGAGGUGGUGGACCCAUAUUCGGAGCUAGAGCUUGACUAUCCUGGAGGUGACGACGAGCGCUUUCUCGGAGACGCCAAACAUCGUAUCAUCCUAUGGAAAAAGGAUUGCAUCAUCUUUCGAAGGCCACCGACACCGCGUCAACCGACUCCUCAUCGAAGUCCGCCACCGAGUCAGCAGUCUCCCGCUCCUGCAAUUCCACCAAGUCCGGCAAAGUGUCAGGCCACUCCUCCUCCAAGUCCGGCAAAGUGUCAGGCCACUCCUCCUCCUCCAAGUCCGCCACAGCGUCAGACGUCCACUCCUCCUCCAAGUCCGGCACAACCUCAGGCCACUCCUCCUCCAAGUCCGGCACAGCUUCAGGCGGCCACUCCUCCUCGUCGAACUCAGCCCCGUCAGCCGUCUCCGCCGCCUCAGCAAUCACAUAAGAGACACCUCGCAGCUAUGGUGCGUAGCGGUACGAGUCGAGGUAGUACAGGAAGUACAGGCGGAGGCAAGCGAUAUAAAUAUGGUCCAAGCCUCACGCCUCUUCCGCAGAGGGCUUAUGACAGGUCCGAGGAGGAAAUCGCAGCCAUAUCGAAGUUCGAGGUGGAAGCCCAUUUUGCACCGAAACUGCCACCGCCGCCAAGGGAGAAAGUGCCUGAGAAAACGAUUGACCACUUCAUUCGUAUGGCUCAACCACCAGCUCCCAAGCCUGUUGACACAGACUAUGAGCGCCACAUCAGGAAGUUAAAUCGAGCACGUCUACGUAAGGAGGCGAGCUCGGGAUCGAGCAAACAAGAAGCAGCUGUCAAAAAAUGCGGGAAAACCAUUCCCCAGCUGGGAGAACAGGCGGCGCAAUCGAUCCCCUCGCUUGUUGUGCCAACAACACGUGACAGUACGCGCGCCCAAUAUUAUUGUGGGCAAACAGUUUACGUUCCUGAGGUGGGCAAUGUGGUAAUAACGGAGGAGCAUAUAAUGCAGGCUGAUGUUCUCAAAAUCACUGUUGGACAACUCCUCGAGAUCGAGCCCAUGCCUGUGCUUAGAGAGGAUGAAAUAAAACGGAAAUAUGUCCGGGGCCAACCUUUGGUCAAGCCAGACAAGGUCAAGAACCUCCCAACGAGAAUGUAUGAAUUGCAUCAAUGGUACAUGAACAUUACCAAGAUUUCCGAUCGAUUGUCCCUCAUGGUGAAUGUCAAGGAGGAGCAUUACUACCAUGAGAAAGCUGUGUCCGUUGAGUAUUCUGAACUGUUUCAGUUAUACAAUCAAGACGCACUCGACAAAUCUAUCGUCAGUUGCUAUUGUCUGUAA
rnacentral:rRNA from 1 species